UGGGGAAUAUUGGACAAUGGGCGAAAGCCUGAUCCAGCAAUGCCGCGUGAGUGAUGAAGGCCUUAGGGUUGUAAAGCUCUUUUACCCGGGAUGAUAAUGACAGUACCGGGAGAAUAAGCCCCGGCUAACUCCGUGCCAGCAGCCGCGGUAAUACGGAGGGGGCUAGCGUUGUUCGGAAUUACUGGGCGUAAAGCGCGCGUAGGCGGCUUUGUAAGUUAGAGGUGAAAGCCCGGAGCUCAACUCCGGAACUGCCUUUAAGACUGCAUCGCUAGAAUUGUGGAGAGGUAAGUGGAAUUCCGAGUGUAGAGGUGAAAUUCGUAGAUAUUCGGAAGAACACCAGUGGCGAAGGCGACUUACUGGACACAUAUUGACGCUGAGGUGCGAAAGCGUGGGGAGCAAACA
rnacentral:rRNA from 1 species